rnacentral:guide_RNA from 1 species
AACGUACAUACUGUCUUCUCGAUUGACAUAUAAGAUGAUAAUU